AUUGAACGCUGGCGGAAUGCUUUACACAUGCAAGUCGAACGGCAGCACGGGGGCAGCCCUGGUGGCGAGUGGCGAACGGGUGAGUAAUACAUCGGAACGUGCCCGGUCCUGGGGGAUAACGUAGCGAAAGUUACGCUAAUACCGCAUACGAUCUGAGGAUGAAAGCGGGGGACCUUCGGGCCUCGCGCGAUCGGAGCGGCCGAUGUCAGAUUAGGUAGUUGGUGGGGUAAAGGCCUACCAAGCCGACGAUCUGUAGCUGGUCUGAGAGGACGACCAGCCACACUGGGACUGAGACACGGCCCAGACUCCUACGGGAGGCAGCAGUGGGGAAUUUUGGACAAUGGGCGCAAGCCUGAUCCAGCCAUUCCGCGUGCAGGACGAAGGCCUUCGGGUUGUAAACUGCUUUUGUACGGAACGAAAAGGCUCUGGCUAAUACCUGGGGCUCAUGACGGUACCGUAAGAAUAAGCACCGGCUAACUACGUG
rnacentral:rRNA from 1 species